CCUGUCAGGUCUGACUGUAAUGAACAGUACAGUAAUAAACCUCUUCCUGUCAGGUCUGACUGUAUGAACAGUACAGUAAUAAACCUCUUCCUGUCAGGUCUGACUGUAAUGAAUAGGACAGUAAUAAACCUCUUCCUGUAAUUAACAGUACAGUAAUAAACCUCUUCCUGUCAGGUCUGACUAUAAUGAACAGUACAGUAAUAAACCUCUUCCUGUCAGGUCUGACUGUAAUGAACAGUAAUAAACCUCUUCCUGUCAGGUCUGACUGUAGGAACAGUAAUAAACCUCUUCCUGUCAGGUCUGACUGUAAUGAACAGUACAGUAAUAAACCUCUUCCUGUCAGGUCUGGCUGUGUGAACAGUAUGAACCAUCUGAAAGAGGAAGUGGAUCACGAGGCUAAACACCGCUGUCGCUACACUGCUCAAUACGACAACCGCAUCUACACCUGUAAAGCGUGCUAUGAGGGAGGGAAGGAGGUGAUUGUGAUUCCCAAGACGACAGCCUCCUCUGACUCUCCCUGGUUUGGUCUGGCCACGUACGCCUGGUCUGGGUAUGUGAUAGAGUGUCCCAACUGUGGAGUUAUCUACAGAAGUAGGCAGUACUGGUACGGGAACCAGGACCCAGUGGACACAGUGGUCAGGACUGAGAUACAACACAUCUGGCCUGGGGUAAGAACAACAGAGGG